rnacentral:lncRNA from 1 species
GGAUAUGAAAAUGCAGAGAAUCUGGGUUCCGACAUAAAGGAAACACACACUCCCUCUCUAAUCUCUGACAGAGGUAAGGCUGAACAAGACACAGGCAAACCCUCCAGAGGAGUUUAAUGUGGAAACUAUGUGACAAACAGGGUCCUCCUGAUCUCUGCAGCAUGAAUGUCCUGAGCAGUCCUGGUCCUGGAAGAACUGCAGUAGAUACAGAGAAGAGCAAUAAGGAUGAUCAAAGGAGUACCAAUAAUGCCAAAGAUGCUACACUAUAAACGAUCGAAUUUUACUGAGAAGCUCUGGAGCACGUCACAAAACAAAGAAAAGAAAACAUGGUGAGAUAGUCUUGUUGAUGGGAAGUUCCUUCACAGCACUGAUUAUUUCCUUUAGAAAAUCUGCUUUUUACAGAUGACUGGAAGCAUGAAUGACAGUGACAGGAAGCAUGUGGAAAAAUGAUGAGCUUAAGGCUUCCACAGACAUCUAAGGCUAUGGAAGUAACCAUACCAGACGAAAACCACAGAUCCUUCUGGCCCAGCUCCUCAUCUCUGACAGUAACCAAGAAUGAAUCCAAGGAAGUAUAUAUGAACACAGUAUAUGAAUCGGCACUUUUUUAGUGAGCUCAGACAGCCUACAGCAAUCCUUGGCACAGGAACUUCCUGAGAAAAAAUGUGACGUGCUUCCGUCUUACAGCAGAGUGCAAGCUGAGAGUUAUAACACGGAAAUUUUGUGACAUUAUAUGCAUAUAUGACCAACAAGAAGUAUUUUUCUGUGGAACCAUGCAAAACACAUGAUUUAUCUGAGUGAACCUACAUGAUUCUAAAAUUUAAAUAUCUUCCAGUCUUUGUACAUUUCAUAUUGUGUUUAAAAAUAGGAUUUAUUUUUAAGACAACGCCACUUUUCUUUAACUUAGUAGUAACACAAUUAGCAAAAUAAAUGAUUUUAAAAGAUAAAUGCUAAUUAAAGUGAAAUCUACUAUAGUUACUACAUUUGAAUUCUGUGUAUCUGACAAAAGAAAUAAAGUUUAAAUAACUU